UGCAAGAUAAAGAGAAAAACCUGUUUGUUGGAUUGCUGAACUAAGUUUGGCGUCAAGGUUGCAACAUAUUAUCUCAUUAAGUAUUCCACAGACUGGAGUCUUCAGAUUGGUGGCUUGUAAGAUUUAUCUUCCUUGUUAUGAAUGAGCUUUAUUUUGUUGAAGAAGUAACAUUUAUCUAAAGUUAUGUGGAAAAAUAAGGGCUUUGUGUCUUUUUAAUACAUGGUACAAAGGAGCCAAAUUUCACAAAUUAGAAGAAUAUUAAAAAACUAUGUGGAAUGUUCAAAUUCAGUUAAGGUUAACUUCGGAGACAAAAACAUGCUCCCUUUUUAAGGAGGUCCAAUAAAAAUAAAAAGCAAGUCCAGCUCCAGCAUCCUGUGUAAGAUGCAGCCAAGUCUCAUAUGGAAGGCAUGAGCUUUUGAGUUUUUUUUGUUGCACAUUUAAAAAGAUAGUUCACUUUUGCUUCAGAUGCUUGACACAAUUGAAAUUUCAACUGUGUUCUGUGGUGCUCUUGAUCUUAGAUUUAUAAAGGGCUAGAUCCUUUGUGGCUAUCAGUCCUGACCCCUUAGAGAUGAAAGUUUUACUUUUUGCAAGAGUCCCCCUACUACUAUUCCUUCUCCCUUCUGAAAGUGUUUUCUCACAGUGUUUGUUUUGGAUCAGCAGCUCCCUACCCUACUGAGAAAGUAUGGUACAGAAUUUCAAUAGCAUCUGUGCCUCUUUUCAAGGGGUGGAAUUACCUGGAAUGAGGAUUUGGGUGGAUGUGGCCUAACUCAGCUCAGCAGUCGGCAGGAAUCCAGACGGCAGGCUUUGGCCCUUGACAUUUAACACAGGGCAAAGGAUAUCGCUAGGAAUUUGACCUUCAGUCUCCCAUGUCUCAACUUGCAUCAGGUGAAGAGAGCGUCCCCGAGACGCACAGAAGGCGGUGCCAGCGACCGGGACUGUGCUGCUACGAAGCGGGCGCCCUGCGGGGUUGGCUGUGAGUCUGCUAGAAGCACUUUUCAUGUCAAGCAGCUGUGUAAGGAGAAAGCUCAGAUCUGAAUCUUGAGCUAUCGGGUGAAUGAAUAAUCUGCAAAAUGUAAUUAGUGAUGGGUUAAUUAAGGUUAGUUCAUAUACAGCUCAGGAGAACUAUUUCUCUUUGUGGUUAAAGGUUAAAUUCCAAGGAGGUUAAAUAAUUAAUA